rnacentral:rRNA from 1 species
GAGACAGCAGCAGCCACGGGAAUACGAAGGUCCCGAGCGUUGUUCGGAAUCACUGGGCAUAAAGGGAGCGUAGGCGGCGUGGUAAGUCAGAUGUGAAAUCCCGGGGCUCAACCCCGGAACUGCAUCCGAUACUGCCAUUCUAGAGGAUUGGAGAGGUAGCUGGAAUUCUUGGUGUAGCAGUGAAAUGCGUGGAGAUCAAGAGGAACACUCGUGGCGAAAGCGAGCUACUGGACAAUAACUGACGCUGGGGCUCGAAGGCCAGGGUAGCGAAAGGGAUUAGAUACCCGCGUAGUCCCUGUCUCUUAUAC